rnacentral:rRNA from 1 species
UACAGAGGGUGCAAACGUUGUUCGGAAUCACUGGGCGUAAAGCGCGUGUAGGCGGCUUGGCAAGUCGGAUGUGAAAUCCCACGGCUCAACUAUGGAAGUGCAUUCGAAACUGCCAGACUAGAGUCCUGGAGAGGAAGGCGGAAUACUCGGUGUAGAGGUGAAAUUCGUAGAUAUCGAGUGGAACACCGGUGGCGAAGGCGGCCUUCUGGACAGUGACUGACGCUGAAACGCGAAAGCGUGGGGAGCAAACAGG